UUUGUUUGCUUAACCUUCUAACUGUCAGUGUAGUGCAGUCAGUUCUCAGUAGUGUCAACAACUAGAGAAACAAUUUGUUUUCAGAAGAAUUCUUAAAGUGGACUGCUGAUUAAACUGGAAAACUAUUUCGAGCAACAUCUAGCAAAUUCUUUGAAUCAUGACAGUAGAAGAAACCCUUCGGGUAAUCAUUAUUAUUAGAGUAACUUCAUAAGCACAAUGCUUUCUCCUUUGUGUUUGUAUUUUAAUACGCAAUUCAACACGAGUAAAGAGAACAAAGUGAAGAAGAAAAAAGGCCAAGUAUACCUGCCAAGUCGUCAAAGAAUCUGGACCAUUUGUCAAAUUUCAGCUAGAGUGGCACUUCCCACAGCACAGUACAAAUCGCAUGCAUGAUAUACUCAACAAGCCAGGAGCUAUCAACACCCUUCACCUGACAAUCCCAAAGUUUCAGGAGUCUGAUAGUGGAAAGUACCGUUGUGUUCAGAGGUCUAUUACUACCAUCAAAGUUUUUGAAAUGAUUUCAUCCGUUUCCAAAAAAACUCUUCAUUUUUCAUCAGCACAGAGACUUUUUGUUGGGAAAUCAUUUGUUAGAUUUUUGGGUGGACCAUCUAUUAUUCAAAAACCUAUUGCUCAGCCAAUUAAUUUGGCAAAUGAACCUAUUUUAGGUUAUUUGAAAAGCAGCGAAGAAAGAGUUGCCUUGGAAAAUGCAUUACAACAUAGGCAAUCUACUGUUGAAGAAAUUCCAAUUGUUAUUGAUGGCAAAGAAUAUUGGACUGAUGUUCAUUUUCACUUCAUGUGGUUAAUCAAAUAUGAUUUGUUUUCAGAUAUGACUAUCCCAAGGAAUGGCCAGAAUUGCUGCCUUCCCUCUUGCAUCUUGUGAGAACUGAAGAUGAUUUGGUUCAACAAAGAGCCUUGCUCUACUUGCAUCAUGUGACAAAAUCUCUUGCCUCUAAAAGACUGGCAGGUGAUCGACGCGCGUUCCAGGAUCUGAGUUCCGAAAUGUACAGCUAUGUUUGCGCCCUUUAUAGUCAUCUGAGUCAAACGCUUCUGCAACAAAUGGAAGCGCGUAAUGCUGAAAUAGUUGGGGCUACGAUGGAGAAAGCAUUACUGUGUUUGCGCGUUAUCCGUAAAUUGACUGUUCAUGGUUUUAAGACACCUCAUCAAACCAAUACUGUUAUGGAAUUCGUUCAGAGUUUUACGAGCGAAUUAAAAACCUUCUCCAAUACCGUCAAGUUGUUCUUUCCAAUGACCCAUUGUUGGCGUUGUGCGAAAAAUAUUUGGUUGUUCAGUGCAAGGUUCUCCGGGAUCUCCUCGACUUCCAUCCUUUUUCCUUUGUCCCGUUUAUCCGUAUGACCGUAGAAUUCGUUCUUCACUAUUUGUUCCAACCAGAGAACCAAGUUCUACUCUUCGAUUCCUUUGUUGUGCAGUCCCUAAAUCUGGUGAAGGGCAUUGCACUUUGUGCCGAAUAUAGACCAGGAAAGAUUAUCGAAGAUACCAAGAGCCUGCCACUCUUGAGGCCUAUCGCAUAAAGUCGGAAGUUUUUACACCUGAAUCACUCUCAUUGAUGUGCCGUCAAUUAAUUGAAAAUUAUUUGCUGCUGUCGCAAGAGGAUCUACAUGUCUGGGAAACAAAUCCGGAAGAAUUUGCCGCUGAAGAAGGUGGAGAAGCUUGGAAAUACAGUCUUAGGCCUUGUACGGGAUGUUUAUUUCUAAGUCUCUUCCACGAAUAUCAAUUGAUCUUGAGUCCCGUACUGAUUUCGGUGCUUAACGAGAGCAUGGGACUGAUACCACCAGAUGAUAUGAAUCGUAUAAUCAAGAAGGAUGCACUUUACAAUGCUAUUGGACUUGCAGCCUUUGAAUUACUCGAUGAGGUGGAUUUUGAUCACUGGUUUAGUCAGAUUAUGUGGCCCUAUUCCGCUCUUCAACCAUUCUUUAUUUAAGAAUAGGUAGGAGAAAAUGUUGACCGCUUCCGGAAUUUGCCGCGUUUGGUUGGCGAGUGCGGAGGGAAGAAUUACCAUUGGCUUCAUUCAUCUGCAAAUGUAGAGCACGUUGUCAAUUCUACCCUUCGUGGCGCUUUUGAGUAUUCCGGACAAAAGUGUUCGGCAACGUCAAGGUUAUAUGUCCCAUCCUCAUUAUGGAAACAGAUAAAGGAAGGGCUAAUCGAGGGUAUGAAGCAAAUGAAAAUUGGUCCAGUCACCGACUUUGACUCACUUACGUCUUCGGUCAUUGAUAGUCGAGCUUAUGAGCGCAUAACCUCUUACAUUAAGCACGCCGAACAGUCACCGGAUCUUCAGAUUAUUGCUGGUGGGCAGCGAAUAAAAGUGUCGGGUAUUUUAUACAUCCAACCCUAGUAGGAACUAAAAAUCCCCGUGAUCGCAUAAUGUUGGGAGAAAUUUUCGGACCCGUUCUCACCGCCUUCGUUUAUGACGACAGCGCACUAGAAGAAACAUUAGACCUGGGUCGACCACUUUGGAUGGCUGGGUCGACCACGGGUGCACUGAUGCCUCCUGGAUAUGGCCGAUACCAAAUCACCACAAGCUGCCAUACUUCACAACAACGAGGUCUCCAAGUACUACACCACUGUGGGACUGAAUAUUACAAGACUAUGUAUGCUGCUACUUUCUACUACACCAAGGCCCCUAAUCCCCUACUGAUUGUCUACUGAAAUCACCAACAUACUCAAGUUUGAAAAAAUAAGUUUUGAUUUUCGCAACAAUUUUAUUUAAUUUUCU
rnacentral:misc_RNA from 1 species